AUGAGAAGCCGUCAACCAGCAGCAGUAAUCAUGCUGAUAACAGCAUGCCCCCCUCCACCCCCAACCUGGAGUCAUGCAGUUUGCCUGCCUUUCCAAGUGAUUUUGGCAGUUGCCCUGAUAGCCCUCACCAUUUCUAUCUCCUUGAAUGUCGUUUUCUACUUUCUCCGACGGCGAGACCGACGGGCAGCAGGUCUGAAAGGUGAUGAGUGUCACCCCAUGGAGCAAUACAGAGAAGGGGAUCACGAACAUUUACAAGAAAAUCCCAUCUAUGGUAACAUCAGCGCAGAAAGGGCAGCUGGCCAAGAUUCAAACCUUCAACACCAUUUGCUCUAUGAGCACAUGAAGGCACAGCCACAGCCUGUAAUGGAGACCAAGUUUCUACAUCCAGUGCAACCUGAUGUGUCCUACGCCUCACUUGACCUGGCAGGGGGCAAGAAGGGGCGGAAGAAGCAUAAAGCCAAGCAAGGCCAAGCCCAGGCCAAACACCCUGCCCACAGCUUGUCGCAGCAGGAGUUCCUGGAGGUGGACACAGAAAUGGAGGCCAACCUGCCGUCCCGGCAGAGCAGCCCUCUGGCAUCACGCCACAGCAUCUACCUCAACAGCCAACAGAUGGCCAUGGAAACACAAGCGAUGGAACGGGAGCAGGCCUGGAAACGGGAACAGGAGCAGGAGCGGGAAUGGGAUAGGGAGUGGAAGAGGAAUCGAGAGUGGGAGAGAGAGAGGGAGAGAGAGAGGGAGAGGGAGAGGGAGAGGGAGUGGGACUGGGAGCGGGAGACAGACCGAGAGCGAGAGAGGGAUCGAGAAAGGGAGGAGGAGUGGGAGAGGGACUGGGAGCGGGAAGCAGCACAACAGAUGGAAAACAACUCAGGGCCGGAUUAUGAUAUAGUCCAUGAAGACCCUGCUCUCCUCCUCAGGCCGAGUCAAAACCAGGAAUGACAACGAUGACAUGUUGGGGUGUUUGGUGUGUUAGAAGUUUGGGUGUUCAUACCCUCUUUUACCAAAAUCGUUCAAUUUUUACCCACCAUCCAUCAUCACAUCAGUCCAGUUGUUCCUUCAGCCAGUCCUCUGUAGCUAACAGUUCAUUUUUUGACAAAGACAUAACAAGACAGCUGCUGAAAAAGACUGCAUGUGUCGUCACAGCGAGACAACUGAGUUAUGGACAAAGGUACAAAUCCUUCUUCGUAUUUUCUAAAAUAACUCACAGCUGUUUUUAAAUCAUAAUUUCUAUGUAAUGAACAAAUGAAAGAAUGUGUUGCUGUAUUGUCCUGAGAUAACUUGAAUGAACAGGGACAUUUAAAGUCUUGUAUUAUUAAUUCAUUUACGUACCUUAUUUCAAAUAUUUUCAUUUUAAUGAUAUAUUAUUUAUCAUUUAUUUUAUUGAAUCAAAUGUCCUCUGCCUCUAAAAGUAUUUCAAUUUUUCUUUGUUUAUACUAUUAUUAAUUACUAUGUCAAUUGUACACUGCUCCAUUUGUUCACAUUUUAUGCUUUCACAGUAGCUACUAAAUGUAUUUCCUGCUGAUGAAGCACUUUAAAUCAAAAUUUAUGAGUUAGGUUGACAUAUAAUGUCAGUCCUUUGGGGAUUGCACAUUUUUCUGUCUAUGUGCCUGAGAAGGAUAUAGCAAGUGUUGUAAAUUUGAAAUUGCCAUAGCUUUUUUUAUAACCACUGCAUGAUUUUAUUUUGUUUAAAUUCAAUUGCCAUUAGUUCUUGAGUCAGAAUUGUAUAAUUUCUAUGGUUCGAGUGAAUCCAUAAAAGAAAAUUUUGUGAACUGAUCUUGUUAGAAAUAGAAACUUUACAUUCCAAUAUACUGUAAAUGUGCAGUUUACAGAGUCUGUGUAUACACUGCAGUAACUAAAGGAAUUCACUUGGUUGGACACAUAUGAACACAUCCAGACAAAAAAUGUGUCACCUUUGGCAAUUAUGAAGAGAAUCAAAACCAAUUUGAUAGGAAGGUUUCUGGUGUAACUUAGAUUUGAAAUGGACUCAAGAGUUAUAUUUCUAUAUACAAAUAUGCAGUAUUUAAUUAUAAAAAAUAAAAAUAUGAACAAUGUGUCUUUAAUACA
rnacentral:lncRNA from 1 species